rnacentral:rRNA from 1 species
AGCAGUGGGGAAUUUUGGACAAUGGGCGCAAGCCUGAUCCAGCAAUGCCGCGUGAGUGAAGAAGGCCUUCGGGUUGUAAAGCUCUUUUGUCAGGGAAGAAACGGUGAGGGCUAAUAUCUCUUGCUAAUGACGGUACCUGAAGAAUAAGCACCGGCUAACUACGUGCCAGCAGCCGCGGUAAUACGUAGGGUGCAAGCGUUAAUCGGAAUUACUGGGCGUAAAGCGUGCGCAGGCGGUUUUGUAAGUUUGUCGUGAAAGCCCCGGGCUCAACCUGGGAAUUGCGAUGAAGACUGCAAGGCUUGAAUCUGGCAGAGGGGGGUAGAAUUCCACGUGUAGCAGUGAAAUGCGUAGAGAUGUGGAGGAACACCUGAUGGCGAAAGCAGCCCCCUGGGUCAAGAUUGACGCUCAUG